rnacentral:rRNA from 1 species
GUAGGUGGCAAGCGUUGUCCGGAAUUAUUGGGCGUAAAGCGCGCGCAGGCGGUCCUUUAAGUCUGAUGUGAAAGCCCACGGCUCAACCGUGGAGGGUCAUUGGAAACUGGGGGACUUGAGUACAGAAGAGAAGAGUGGAAUUCCACGUGUAGCGGUGAAAUGCGUAGAGAUGUGGAGGAACACCAGUGGCGAAGGCGACUCUUUGGUCUGUAACUGACGCUGAGGCGCGAAAGCGUGGGGAGCAAACAGGAUUAGAUACCCUGGUAGUCCACGCCGUAAACGAUGAGUGCUAAGUGUUAGAGGGUUUCCGCCCUUUAGUGCUGCAGCAAAACGCAUUAAGCACUCCGCCUGGGGAGUACGGCCGCAAGGCUG